rnacentral:tRNA from 1 species
GGGGAUGUAGCUCAAGUGGUAGAGUGCUUGCCGCUCAUGCAUAAGGUCCUGGGUUCAAUUCCCAGCAUCACAA